rnacentral:rRNA from 1 species
GAUGAACGCUGGCGGCGUGCCUAAUACAUGCAAGUCGAGCGAACAGACGAGGAGCUUGCUCCUCUGACGUUAGCGGCGGACGGGUGAGUAACACGUGGAUAACCUACCUAUAAGACUGGGAUAACUUCGGGAAACCGGAGCUAAUACCGGAUAAUAUAUUGAACCGCAUGGUUCAAUAGUGAAAGACGGUUUUGCUGUCACUUAUAGAUGGAUCCGCGCCGCAUUAGCUAGUUGGUAAGGUAACGGCUUACCAAGGCGACGAUGCGUAGCCGACCUGAGAGGGUGAUCGGCCACACUGGAGCUGAGACACGGUCCAGCCUCCUACGGGAGGCAGCAGUAGGGAAUCUUCCGCAAUGGGCGAAAGCCUGACGGAGCAACGCCGCGUGAGUGAUGAAGGUCUUCGGAUCGUAAAACUCUGUUAUUAGGGAAGAACAAAUGUGUAAGUAACUAUGCACGUCUUGACGGUACCUAAUCAGAAAGCCACGGCUAACUACGU